rnacentral:rRNA from 1 species
UACGUAGGGUGCAAGCGUUUAAUCGGAAUUACUGGGCGUAAAGCGUGCGCAGGCGGUGAUGUAAGACAGUUGUGAAAUCCCCGGGCUUAACCUGGGAACUGCGUUUGAAACUGGGGAGCUAGAGUGUAGAAGAGGGGGGUGGAAUUCCAGGUGUAGCAGUGAAAUGCGUAGAGAUCUGGAGGAACACCGAUGGCGAAGGCAGCCCCCUGGGCUAACACUGACGCUCAUGCACGAAAGCGUGGGGAGCAAACAGG